UUAAUUUUUUAUCCUUUAGUUAAUAUAUUAUUUAAUUAUAUAAAAAAUAGUAAUAAAAAUUUAACCGUCAAAGCACUAUCUAAGCAUUGCCUAGACGGUAGACGAUCACUAAUCGAACUAUCACCGUUUACCAUCAUUUACAACUAGUAUUUUCUUAAUUAUAUUUUACACUAGUGUCUGUAUGUAUGUAUGUGCUGAAGUGUGUCUAAAAAUAACUCGUGAUCUUUGAUUGGUUAGUGUGAAGGAGGAGUUGUGGGGAGAGGAGCCUUUCAUUUCUAAUCGACAAAGACGGAGAUUCACCUGUGUGGAUAUGUUAUAGAGCUAAAUGUGGUUGGAAAGGUCAUAUACCGGUUUAUGGAGAUGCCAAUACAACAUGCAUGCACUAAAUAAACAUGUCAAUCAUUGUGACAACUCUUUAUUAAAGAUCCAAAAAGGCUGAGUGGGUGUGUUUUUAAUAACACACAAGUGUUCUGAUAAAUACACUGGAUAU